AGUGAACGCUGGCGGCGUGCCUAAUACAUGCAAGUCGAACGAUGAAGUCCUAGCUUGCUAGGAUGGAUUAGUGGCGCACGGGUGAGUAAUAUAUAGUUAAUCUGCCCUACACAGAGGAACAACAGUUGGAAACGACUGCUAAUACCUCAUACUCCUAUUUGACAUAAGUUAAAUAGGGAAAGUCUUUUCGGUGUAGGAUGAGACUAUAUCGUAUCAGCUAGUUGGUAAGGUAAUGGCUUACCAAGGCUAUGACGCGUAACUGGUCUGAGAGGAUGAUCAGUAAAAUUGGAACUGAGACACGGUCCAAACUCCUACGGGAGGGAGCAGUAAGGAAUAUUGCGCAAUGGGGGAAACCAUGACGAAGCAACGCCGCGUGGAGAAUGACACUUUUAGGAGCGUAAACUACUUUUAUCAGGAAAGAAUAAUGACGGUACCUGAUGAAUAAGAACCGGCUAACUCCGUG
rnacentral:rRNA from 1 species